AUGUAUGUAAGAUCUCCGCUCUUUUGCCAUGUAUAUAUAUACAUAUAUGCAGCACCAAAUGGUUCAGAAAGUCUCUCAUCACAUGCCAUUUUUUUAUUUUUAUACAAGAUCACAUUCGUUUGCAGUUGCACGAGUCGAUUGGCGUCAGAAGAGCCAGUGGGGCACCUUCCUCGGCAGCACGCGCUCUUCGAUCGUCUUCAAGCUGGGCUUCCAAGGCCCGCUGCGCGUCAGCUCCUGGCUCAGGAACUCCGGCUGGUGGCCACCGGGCCCGCCCAGCAACGGCGCCGCCUCGUCCCGCUGCUCCUGUGCGCUGACCGGCAUCGACCGGCACCGCGCAAGCAGCCGCGACGCCGUGAGCGCUCGCCGGGCCUCGUCGGCGGAGACCCUGCCCCGGGUGGCCGGGAGCACGACGUACACCCCGGCACCGUCCAGCAGGUGGUCGGCCGGCAGCGCGGCGACCUUGGCGGCGCCGGCCGCCGCGAGGCGCGCGUCCACGACGAAGUGGCGCGGGUGCUCCACCAUGAGCUCGGCCACGGACACGGCCUCGCCCAAAGCCCGGACGCUCCCGUCCGGCAGCACGAUCUUGCCGCCGCCCGCGCUCGCCGACACCAGGUUGCCCAUGGCGGCGGCAGCUCCUGCGAAGUGUGGCUGAUGUCUUUGGCCGAGGGUGGAAGAGUGGAAGGCGACGGCGGGUAUAAAAACGCUGGCGGUUGCGAGGUUCAGUUGGCGUGGAUCCGGCGAGAGAUUUUUAAAACCAUCGAGGGUUCGGUGUGA
rnacentral:rRNA from 1 species